CCUACGGGGGGCUGCAGUGGGGAAUAUUGGACAAUGGGCGAAAGCCUGAUCCAGCCAUGCCGCGUGUGUGAAGAAGGCCUUCGGGUUGUAAAGCACUUUCAGUGGGGAAGAAAGCCUUGGGGCUAAUACCCUCGAGGAAGGACAUCACCCACAGAAGAAGCACCGGCUAACUCCGUGCCAGCAGCCGCGGUAAUACGGAGGGUGCGAGCGUUAAUCGGAAUUACUGGGCGUAAAGCGCGCGUAGGCGGUCUGAUAAGCCGGUUGUGAAAGCCCCGGGCUUAACCUGGGAACGGCAACCGGAACUGUAGGGCUAGAGUGAAGGAGAGGAAGGUAGAAUUCCCGGUGUAGCGGUGAAAUGCGUAGAGAUCGGGAGGAAUACCAGUGGCGAAGGCGGCCUUCUGGACUGACACUGACGCUGAGGUGCGAAAGCGUGGGUAGCAAACAGGAUUAGAUACCCCUGUAGUC
rnacentral:rRNA from 1 species